UACGUAGGUGGCGAGCGUUAUCCGGAAUGAUUGGGCGUAAAGGGUGCGUAGGCGGCCUGCUAAGUCUGGAGUGAAAGGUACCGGCUCAACCGGUACAGGCUCUGGAAACUGGCGGGCUAGAGAGCAGGAGAGGGCGGUGGAACUCCAUGUGUAGCGGUGAAAUGCGUAGAUAUUAGGAGGAACACCAGUUGCGAAGGCGGCUCUCUGGACUGUAACUGACACUGAGGCACGAAAGCGUGGGGAGCAAACAGG
rnacentral:rRNA from 1 species